rnacentral:rRNA from 1 species
GAUGAACGCUGACAGAAUGCUUAACACAUGCAAGUCGAUGGGGAAGUGGUGCUUGCACCAUGGUAACCAUGGCGGACGGGUGAGUAAUGCGUAAGGAACUUACCUGCGGGACCGGGAUAACAGCAGGAAACUGCUGACAAGACCGGAUAAGGUCAUUAAGCUGCAUAGCUUAGUGAUGAAAGGAGACGCCUGCGGAGAGCCUUGCGUCCUAUUAGCUAGUUGGAGGGGUAACGGCCCACCAAGGCGAAGAUAGGUAGCCGGCCUGAGAGGGUGGACGGCCACAAGGGGACUGAGAUACGGCCCUUACUCCUACGGGAGGCAGCAGUGGGGAAUAUUGGACAAUGGGGGCAACCCUGAUCCAGCAAUUCUGUGUGCACGAAGACGGUUUUCGGAUUGUAAAGUGCUUUCAGCAGGGAAGAAGGAAGUGACGGUACCUGCAGAAGAAGCGACGGCUAAAUACGUG